GUUAUACCACACGCCAUGACCGGUAAUGAUGUCAUUGGGUGGCUGAUUCAGAAAUACAACAUAACAGAGGAAGAGGCGGGCCACCUGGGAGGACUCCUGGUGCAGUAUGGGUACAUCUAUCCUCUGAAGGAGCCGCGCUCUCUACUACUGCGAUCUGAU